rnacentral:tRNA from 1 species
GGGCGUGUAGCUCAGGCGGUUAGAGCGCACCUCUGAUAAGGGUGAGGUCGAUGGUUCGAGUCCAUCCACGCCCACCA